GGAAGCGCAUGUUAACAAGGUCCUGCGUUCAGUCAGUGCCAUCCUGCCUUUGGCUGUUCUCAGGGCUUUCAGAUUCAUAGGAGAACAUUUUCAGCUUGGCAGGGAGGAAGAUGCCCAUGACUUCUUAUGCUGUACUGUCAAUGCCAUGCAGAGAGCUUGUCUGAGUGCAAGCAACGACUUGGACAUAUCAUCUCAAUCUACUACCAUUGUCCAUCA